rnacentral:rRNA from 1 species
ACAGAGGGGGCGAGCGUUAUUCGGAAUUAUUGGGCGUAAAGGGCGCGUAGGCGGCUUCUCAAGUGGAUGGUGAAAUCCCCGGGCUCAACCUGGGAACUGCCGUCCAAACUGAUUAGCUUGAGUCCGGAAGAGGCGAAUGGAAUUCCCAGUGUAGCGGUGAAAUGCGUAGAUAUUGGGAGGAACACCAGUGGCGAAGGCGGUUCGCUGGGCCGGAACUGACGCUGAGGCGCGAAAGCGUGGGGAGCAAACAGGA